GAUGAACGCUGGCGGCGUGCCUAAUACAUGCAAGUCGAGCGAACAGACGAGGAGCUUGCUCCUCUGACGUUAGCGGCGGACGGGUGAGUAACACGUGGAUAACCUACCUAUAAGACUGGGAUCACUUCGGGAAACCGGAGCUAAUACCGGAUAAUAUAUUGAACCGCAUGGUUCAAUAGUGAAAGACGGUUUUGCUGUCACUUAUAGAUGGAUCCGCGCCGCAUUAGCUAGUUGGUAAGGUAACGGCUUACCAAGGCAACGAUGCGUAGCCGACCUGAGAGGAUGAUCGGACACACUAGGACUGAGACACGGUCCAAGCUCCUAGGAGAGGCAGCGGUAAGGAAUCUUGCGCAAUGGGCGAAAGCCUGACGGAACAACGCAGCAUGAGUGAUGAAGGUCUUCGGAUCGUAGAACUCUGUUAUUAGGGAAGAACAAGUGUGUAAGUAACUAUGCACGUCUUGACGGUACCUAAUCAGAAAGCCACGGCUAACUACGUG
rnacentral:rRNA from 1 species